UCUGAAACCUUGCCGAGAAAACUGUAGGGACUUGACCAGGCAGUCACCAGGAGUCAACACUGACUUGAAGGCACACACACACAUUACACACACACAAAUAGAUGAGCAGUUUAAUAUUUGAAAGGUGACUGCUGACUGACACACCAUUGAAACUUUGACCAUUUUCUCUGUGUCUCUGCAGAUUUCAUCCCAUCAGCACUGCUCUGAAGGCUUAGGGAUGCAGAAUAUGGAUAGAAUCUUCAACCUUACAGAUAGAAAUAUACAGGUCUUACAAAUAAACAAAGCUCUUGGACAUUAUCCUGAGAUGGAAGAUUACAGUUUUUAAAAAUGCCAGUAAACCUACAAACAAAAGAAACCCAGUGAAAGUUAAUAUGCAUUCUAAAAGACCACCUACCUGCUCUGACUAGAGCACACUGGAGAAGUUGCUUCUUAGAGCUCUAAAAUACUAUCAAGCAAAUUUCCCUGCCAAAGUAAAAUUGUUGCUGCAAGGAUUUCAAGACUGGAACACUCAGCACGGCUUUCUUUUUCAAAAGCAACAAUGGAAGCCUUUGAUUGAAAUCAAGCCCGUGGGAGAUGGAAUGGCCCCCUAACUUAUUGCAUUCUGUCCAGUUCUGACCCAUAGUGUG